rnacentral:lncRNA from 1 species
GCAUUGCACCAUUCUGUGCACUUUAUUCAAAAGGGCGAUAUUGAUCUCGACGCGAAGAUGAGAAAUCGACGAUCGAAUUUCUCACACAUUAAUUCAAUUCUCUAUUUCUUAUAGUACUCAUUUUUGACCCGCAUUAUCUUUAGUCAUGUUAAAUAUCACUCGCUUUAGCAAUUUAACAAUAUCCCACAAUGAAUUAGUUCUGUUCUGGAACUUUAUUUAAUAAAAAUAAAGCUGUGCCGUUCUUUGAACAUCAUUCAUGAAUGCGCCCUUGUUGAAUUCGCCUGCUGUCAAAACAUGAAGUAAUUUCGCCCAAAAAUCUAGUCCAAUUGGAAAAUUAGCUGUCAAGUAAGCCUGUUUGUUUUGAUGUUUUGUUCUCUGCAGUUGUAAUUGCGCCCUUCUGCACUAGAUUGUUUUUUUCAAUAAUUAUAAGCUAAAAAGUACUUUCCAAGUGAUAUUAUUACAUCAAGGCCUACAUUAUAGUCGCAGAUGGGUGAAUAGGAUUGCUCCGAAACGUUUGCCGCCUACAAUUUGGAGGGGUUCGAGGAACCCACUGAAGGCCAAGAUUUCCGUAAUCC